CAAUUUGCAGUUUCAACGUCUGUUCCAAGGAGGGUGUGGACAAGCAGUCAGAGCAAGAAAUGAUGAGCCAUUGACGUGUGGAACAAGGUUUGCGACACUUGAUGAGGCAGAGCAAAUGCAGAAGAACAAAACAAAGCAAACAGGACAUGCGUGAACAAACGUUGACAGUCUCUGUCAGUCACGGCGUAUGCCACCAUGCGACUCCAAGGGAUAUGGUGAAAACUCUCAACCCAAAAUACAUACCACCUUCCAGGGACUACCAGGCAAACACAUUGAUCCCGGCAUGGUACAAGAAGAAUCGGAAUCGAGAAUCGUCAGGAAUCGGAAUCGAAACAAAGAAUCGGAAUCGUUCGAAUUCAAACGA